UAACACAUGCAAGUCGAACGAACCUUCGGGUUAGUGGCGGACGGGUGAGUAACGCGUGAGAAUCUGCCCUCAGGAGGGGGAUAACGGUUGGAAACGACCGCUAAUACCCCAUAUGCCUAUUGGUGAAAUGAAUUUCGCCUGAGGAUGAGCUCGCGUCUGAUUAGCUAGUUGGUGAGGUAAUGGCUCACCAAGGCUUCGAUCAGUAGCUGGUCUGAGAGGAUGAUCAACCACACUGGGACUGAGACACGGCCCAGACUCCUACGGGAGGCAGCAGUGGGGAAUUUUCCGCAAUGGGCGAAAGCCUGACGGAGCAACGCCGCGUGAGGGACGAAGGCCUCUGGGCUGUAAACCUCUUUUCUCAAGGAAGAAGAUAUGACGGUACUUGAGGAAUAAGCCACGGCUAAUUCCGUGCCAGCAGCCGCGGUAAUACGGGAGUGGCAAGCGUUAUCCGGAAUUAUUGGGCGUAAAGCGUCCGCAGGCGGCUUUUCAAGUCUGCUGUUAAAGCGUGGAGCUUAACUCCAUCAUGGCAGUGGAAACUGAAAGGCUUGAGUAUGGUAGGGGCAGAGGGAAUUCCCGGUGUAGCGGUGAAAUGCGUAGAUAUCGGGAAGAACACCAGUGGCGAAGGCGCUCUGCUGGGCCAUUACUGACGCUCAUGGACGAAAGCCAGGGGAGCGAAAGGGAUUAGAUACCCCUGUAGUCCUGGCCGUAAACGAUGAACACUAGGGUGUCGGGGGAAUCGACCCCUUCGGUGUCGUAGCUAACGCGUUAAGUGUUCCGCCUGGGGAGUACGCACGCAAGUGUGAAACUCAAAGGAAUUGACGGGGGCCCGCACAAGCGGUGGAGUAUGUGUUUAAUUCGAUGCAACGCGAAGACCUUACCAGGGUUUGACAUCCUGCGAACCUCUUAGAAAUUUGAGGGUGCCUUCGGGAAUGCAGUGACAGGUGGUGCAUGGCCUGUCGUCAGCUCGUGUCGUGGAGAUGUUGGGAUAAGUCCCGCAACGAGCGCAACCCACGUUUUAGUUGCCAGCAUUUAGUUGGGCCACUCUAGAAGACCGCUGGUGGAUACCGGAGGAAGGUGGAUGACGUCAAGUCAUCAUGCCCUUACACCUGGCCUACAACCGUACUACAAUGCUACGGACAAGGGCAGCAAACUCCGGGGGCUAGCAAUCCAUAAACCU
rnacentral:rRNA from 1 species